rnacentral:lncRNA from 1 species
CCCCCAAUGUCCACGCUGGCAUAUUUUCUAAAAAAGACAAGUGUCAAAGCACGUUGCACGGCAAAAUCAAGUCACAAUCAGUACUCGGGUACUUACUUUGUGGAUCGCCUUAUCUUCAAGGAGGACUCUGCCCCCAGACGCAGGGACUUGAUUGUGAGCAACGGCUUCUUUGGCGCGGCUUGUUGGAUUGCAGCUUGAUCCUCGCUAGCCUUGGCUGCCGUCUCCACCCCUUGAGUAGUCUACGCCGUGAAGGGGUUGACCCUAGCUACAGG